rnacentral:lncRNA from 1 species
AGGAGGUCUCACCCAACAUGGUGAGUGGGGGUUCAAUCCAGGGCGGCGCAACUGCGGCUCCACGUUCGGAUGCUCGUCGAUGACGGACGGCACUAGACGGCCUCAAAAAAUCCAAGAACAAGGACAACCGAAACAAGGGUUUUAAGAUUUGAUUUUUUUCUUCAAAAUCAGUAGAUAAAACCCAAAAAUCUUGGCUAAAUUUUAAGAAGAAAUCAAAGAAAGGGUUUUUCAGAAGG